rnacentral:rRNA from 1 species
ACGGAAGGCAGCAGUGGGGAAUAUUGCACAAUGGGCGGAAGCCUGAUGCAGCGAUGCCGCGUGGAGGAAGAAGGUUUUCGGAUUGUAAACUCCUUUUAUCAGGGACGAUAAUGACGGUACCUGAAGAAAAAGCUCCGGCUAACUACGUGCCAGCAGCCGCGGUAAUACGUAGGGAGCGAGCGUUGUCCGGAAUUACUGGGUGUAAAGGGUGCGUAGGCGGGGAUGCAAGUCAGAUGUGAAAUGUAUGGGCUCAACCCAUGAACUGCAUUUGAAACUGUAGCCCUUGAGUAUCGGAGAGGCAAGCGGAAUUCCUAGUGUAGCGGUGAAAUGCGUAGAUAUUAGGAGGAACACCAGUGGCGAAGGCGGCUUGCUGGACGACAACUGACGCUGAGGCGCGAAAGCGUGGGGAGCAAACAGGAUUAGAUACCCUGGUA